rnacentral:rRNA from 1 species
GACGAACGCUGGCGGCGUGCUUAACACAUGCAAGUCGAACGGUGAAAGCGGAGCUUGCUCCGCUGGAUCAGUGGCGAACGGGUGAGUAACACGUGGGCAACCUGCCCCUCACUUCGGGAUAACUCCGGGAAACCGGGGCAAAUCCCGGUUAUGACCUCCUGGGGCAUCCUUGGAGGGGGAAGGUUUUUCGGUGAGGGAUGGGCCCGCGGCCUAUCAGCUUGUUGGUGAGGUAGUGGCUCACCAAGGCGACGACGGGUAGCCGGCCUGAGAGGGCGACCGGCCACACUGGGACUGAGACACGGCCCAGACUCCUACGGGAGGCAGCAGUGGGGAAUAUUGCGCAAUGGGCGAAAGCCUGACGCAGCAACGCCGCGUGCGGGAUGACGGCCUUCGGGUUGUAAACCGCUUUCAGCAGGGAAGAAGCCGCAAGGUGACGGUACCUGCAGAAGAAGCACCGGCUAACUACGUGCCAGCAGCCGCCGUAA